AGGGAUUUUCCGAGUCAGUAAAAAAGCUAACUGCUCUUCAAUCCUUGCGUUUGUAUGCUAUACAAGAGGAAAUAACCAUGCCGCACCUCAUGCCUUUCUCAGACCACACCUACCUUUACCAUCUAAGCUUAAGUGGAAGGCUCGAAAGGUUCCCUGAUGAAAUUGAAUUCUACCCUCCAAACCUCAUCUCCUUGGAAUUGCAAUGUUGGAAUAUAGAGCAAGACCCAAUGGUGACCCUAGAGAAGCUGCCAAACUUGAGAUUUCUCACAUUAUCCCUUGGUUUCUCUAUGGUAAAGAAGAUGGUCUGUGCUUCUGGAGGAUUCCAGCAACACGAAACCCUUAAGCUCUCGAAUUUGAAAGAAUUAAAAGAAUUGAUUGUGGAGGAAGGGGCAAUGCCUUAUCUGAAGGAUUUAGUAAUUGAACAUUGCCCUAAAAUGAAAAGGGUUUCCCAUGGAUUGCUGCAACGAAAAACUUUGCAGCACCUAAAGUUGUAUUAUUUGUCUCCUGAGUUAAGGGAUGAGCUUUCUCGGAUAGAAGGAGAAGAUCGGGAGAAGAUCUGCCUCGCCACCUCAAUACGCGGGUGGAGGCGUACGGCAUCAUGAAGGCUCAGGAGAAGUUUCAUAAAGCGCUACCAGGAAAUGCUUGGACUAUAUAGAAGAGCAUUUCCAAUGCAACAAAUCUUUCUCUACUUGUCUAAGCUCGUCUUUUUCCUUGUUUUUUCUGCUUUUGUGAAACAUACGUGUUUGUGUAAGAUGCUUCCACGUUUUCAAAUAAAGUGAUCAUGCAGUUUAUAAUUGAACCUCACUGGAGUUUUAAUAAGAGAAAACCAACAGAAUACAUGCAAGAGUAGAAGCCCGUACACUUCUAAAAGCUGAGGCAUGCUUAGGAAGUGUUUUUAAAAAACAGUUUUUAAGAAUAAAUUUAUAAUAUUUUCAUAAAUAAAAUUAUAUUUGAAAGUUGAAUUCUAAAAAACAGUUUUCGUUCUUAAAAACAUGUUUAAUUAGUUAAUAAAAACAACUUUUAACAAUAAAUAAAAUGAAAACUUGUUUGGAAGUUGUUAUUGUUGGUUUUUUAUUUUAUUUUUUUAAAGUUGGGUAUUUUCUUUAAUUAACCUGAUAUUGUAAAAUUAUAAAUAAUUUUUACAUUCACACUUCAUUAAAAAUAAAAAAUAUUCCAUUUUCAAAUUUUUUUUUUGCAUCAAUUUUAAUUUUUUAAAAUAAAAUAUUACUUUGUAAACAUGUCUAAGUAUGUUUGAUUUCAAUAAUUGGUAAAUUAUUUGAGCAAAAUAUCAUAAAUUGGUAAAUAUUAAUAAUUGGAUUUUAUUGGAUAAAAUUUAUGAUAUCAAACAAUAAUGCAUUAUACUUGGAAACUUAUGAUCUAUUUUUUCUAUUUUAAAUGUAAUUAAUAAUAUAAAAAAUUAAUAUAUUUAUGAUAACUUUAACAAAAUUAAUUUAUUUGUAAAAAUUUAUUAAUUUUUACUAUUUUACAUAUAUAUAUAUAUAUAUAUAUAUAUACACACACACUAGUAGAAAGCACAUGUGUUGCACGUGAAGAUAUAUGUAGGUAUGCGAUUGUUGAUAUAUGAAAUUAAUGAAAUUACAUUGUACUUGUAGGAAAAUAGAUCAAAUAUAAUAUUACUGUAGACAUAUUUGUGUCAUAAUCUAUACAUUUUGUAAUCCAUCAUUAUUGUGAUGUAUCAUUUAAGAAAAUUAACUUAGUUGUUUUCUUACAAAAGUUUGGAGGAAUUAUGAUCAUUAACUACUUGUUUGUCUUUGCAGUAGUCUGCACUAUAGUCUUUUUUUUUUCCUCAUGCAGAAAAGUUACACAUAUUUGAAAAUGUAUUAGUUGAAAUAGAAAAAUAAUGUUUCAAAAAAAUAUAUGGGCAAAAUAUUUCAACAUAAGCUAAUGGUACAUUACCUUAUAUUAUUUUUUGGGUUUUUUUUUUUUUGCUCAUUUUUCUCUCGAUGUUUAUAAAUUUGCAUUGAAGAAAUAAGUUUUAUUAUUUUUAAAUUCAAUUUAGAAAAUGGUAAUAUUGUGAAAGUUACAUUCAUUUAUAAUGAUACCAACAUAUACUUACCUCAAUAAUAUAAAAUUAUUCUCUUUGAUGUUUCUUUUUCCAGAAAUGAGUUGGAAAUAAGAUAAGUUUUGUUUAUAAAAUUUCAAUUUAAUUAUUUUGGGCAAAAGUAUAUAAUAUAUUGGACAUACCUGUUAAGAAAGUUGACAUCCUAUGGUCUUUUUGAUGAGUUUGUUUAAUAAGUUUCACCUAACUGAGAAUAGUAUAAAGAUAAAUUUAUGUGUAAUUCUAUUAAUAUUGUUAUAUUAUCGAUAAAAAGAUACAUACAUGUGGACCCCACAUUUCGGGUCAUGCAUUUACCACUCUAUGACGAGCUCGAUUUUUAUUUGAAAAUAAUUUUAUUAUUAAAAAAAAAUGACUUAGAGUCGCCACUUAUUUUUGUUUUAGUUUUAAAAGGGUAAACAAAAUAAGAAAGAAAACCCUAAGUGUGACUCGUUAUUUUGGAAAAGGUGGUCUAUGAAAAACCGGAUUAGGCUCGGGGGUCGGGUUACUUAUCGGGAAGGUACGGUAAAGACUAUAGCACCCCUCUAAGUCCCUAAAGUCGAGUCUCUACUAAUAAAAUGAAGCUGACGUGACAAUCAAUAGGAAAAUUAAUGGAUACUCAAAUCGGUCAUGCAUAUAUGGGAAUCAAAACAUGUAUAGAGAAUGACUAGAAUGGGAGUGGAUGGGUACUUAGGCCACGAACGAGCAAUGCGCUAUCAUAAAAAUGGGGUCAGUGUACAAUAAAGAGCACAAAACGUAUCACAUGCAUCACCAAACAUAAAUUAAAACUGCUCGAGGGAAAAUUGGAUUUUUGAAAUUUAUUUGAAAAUUGGAGUCUUAGAGAUUAUUUGAAAAUUUGAGUUUUGGAGAUUAUUUGAAAAUUGGAUUUUUAGAAAUUAAAUGUAGGAAUGAGAAUUUUAGAAAUUAAAUUUGAAAGAAAUCGGAAUUUUGAAAAUUAUUUGAGAGUUUGGGAUUUUUAAAAAAUUAAAUUACGAAAUUGGGGCUUUUGGAAAUUAAAUUUUAAAAGAAAUCAGAAUUGAAAAUUAUUUUAGAAGUAGAAGCUAUGAAAAUUGAAUUAUAAAAAUUGGAAAUCUUAGAAAUCAUUCGAAGGUAGAAUUUUUAGAAGUAAAUUAAUAAAAUGAUAAUAAUAAUGAUAAUAAUAAGUAAGUAACGGAAUAAAUGCGAGAAUUAGAAUAUUGGAAAUUGAAAAUUAAGUUCGGAAAUUGAAAAUUUGGAAUUUCAAAAAACUAAAUUUGGAAAUCGAAAUUUUGAAGAAUUAUUUAAGGACAUAAUUUUAAAUAAAUGAAUAAGUGAAUAAAUAAAUGAAUGGAAUAAUAAUAAUGACGAAAUAAUAAUGAUUGGAUGAAUAAUUGAGGAAGUUAGAAUUUCGGAAAUUGGAAAUUGAACUUAGGGAUUGGAAAUUUAAAGAAUUAUUUAGGGAUGAAAUUUUAAAUACAUGAAUAAGUGAAUAAAUAAAUGAAUGAGAUAAUAAUAACGAAAAUAAUCAUUAAACAACAGAAUGUGAAUAGUGGAAUUUUUUAAAUUGAAAAUUAAAUUUGGAAAAUGGAAUUUUGAAAAAUUGAGAAUUUUUAAAAGAAAUAAAUAAAUAAAUAAAUAGAAUAAUAAUAAUAACAAUGAAAGCAAUAUUUAAAUGAAUGAACGUGAAAAGUAUUUUUUGAAAUUUGAAAAAUUAUUUAAAGAGGGAAUUUUUAGAAUAAACAAAUGGAAUAAUAGUAAUAACGAGAAUAAUAAUGAUUAGAUAUAAUAAUUGUGAAAAUUGGAAAGUGAAUUUAGAAAUUGGAAAAUUGAAGAAUUAUUUAGAGAUGAAAUGUCGGAAAAUUAAAUUUCGAAAGUUGGAAACCCGAAAAAUUAUUUUAAGGCUGGAAUGUUGGAAAAUUAAAUUUUGAAAACUGGAAACCCAAAAAAAAUUAUUUUAAUGAUGGAAUGUCAGAAAAUUAAAUUUCAAAAACUAGAAACCGAAAAAUUAUUUUGAAAAUGGAAUGUCUUGAAAAUUUUGUUUUGAUAUCAAAAUGUGAAGAAAUAAUAAAAAGAAAUAUGAAUUGUGGUGAUCUUCACGUGCACGUCUCCAGUAUAAUGGCCAUAAACCCAUUUUAUAUAUUCUUUUCCACCACCUGAACAAACAGCUUUUGCAUUAAGAUUGACGAGUGGGUGUGGAGGUUGGUAUGGCCAUGCAUGCGUGAGGAUGUGUUGGACGGAUAUGAAGGUUGGUGUGGCCAUGCAUGCGUGAGGAUUUUAAGGAUGGAAUUAAAUUUGGAAAUCUGGAAACCCGAAAAAUUAAAUUAAUUUUAAGGAUGGAAUAUCGGAAAAUUAAAUUUUGAAAACUGGAAACCCGAAAAAAUUUAUUUUAAGGAUGGAAUAUCGGAAAAUUAAAUUUCGAAAGCUGAAAACCCGAAAAAUUAUUUCAAGGAUGGAAUGUCGGAAAUAUAAAUUUCGAAAACUGGAAACCCGAAAAAUUAAUUUAAGGAUGGAAUGUCGGAAAAUUAAAUUUCGAAAACCGGAAACUCGAAAAAUUAUUUUGAGGAUGAAACGUCGCAAAAUUAAAUUUCGAAAACUGGAAACCCAAAAAAUUAAUUUAAGGAUGGAAUGUCAGAAAUAUAAAUUUCGAAAACUAGAAGCCCGAAAAAUUAAUUUAAGGAUGGAAUGUCGAAAAAUUAAAUUUCAAAAACUGGAUGGAAUAUCAGAAAAUUAAAUUUCGAACGCUGGGAACCUGAAAAAAUUAUUUUAAGGAUGGAAUGUUGGAAAUAUAAAUUUUGAAAACUAGAAACCCGAAAAAUUAUUUUAAGAACGAAAUGUUGGAAAAUUAAAUUUCGAAAACUGGAAACUUGAAAAAUUAUUUUGAGGAUGGAAUGUCGGAAAAUUGAAUCUUGAAAAUUUUGUUUUGAUAUCAAAAUGUGAAGAAAUAAUAAAAAGAAAUAUGGAUUGU
rnacentral:lncRNA from 1 species